rnacentral:rRNA from 1 species
GACGAACGCUGGCGGCGUGCUUAACACAUGCAAGUCGAACGGAAAGGCCCUGCUCUUGUGGGGUUCUCGAUUGGCGAACGGGUGAGUAACACGUGAGUAACCUGCCCUUGACUUUGGGAUAACUUCAGGAAACUGGGGCUAAUACCGGAUAGAAUCUCCUGCUGCAUGGUGGGGGUUGGAAAGUUUCGGCGGUAGGGGAUGGACUCGCGGCUUAUCAGCUGGUUUGUCGAGUAGUUGCUUACCAAGGCUUUGACGGGUAGGCGGCCUGGGAGGGUGACCGGCGACAAGGGGCCUGAGAGACGCAGCAGAAGCGAACGGGAGGCAGUAGUGGGGAAUAUGGCGGAAUGGGCGGACGCGUGAGGCAGAAACGCCGGGUGCGGGAUGACGGCUUUCGGGUUGUAAACAGAUGUCGCCGGAGACGAAGCGUGAGUGACGGUAAUGGGUAAAGAAGCACCGGCUAACUACGUG